rnacentral:lncRNA from 1 species
UAAAGUUUUGCAAAUUCAAUUAAUUUUUUAUUGUCAAAUGCCGAGAAAGAGUCACGUGGGUAAAGACAUGCUAUACAUGAAAGUAGCUCUGUAUUUGUGUUAUCAAAGCGGUCAUUCAACUCCCCAAGUUGACUAUCAAUCACAGUGAAAAAUAAUUGAACCCUAAAGCGGUGAAGGUUUGUGAUUUCUUCAAUAUUGCGUCGUGGUCUUCCUGGAUACACAAAAAUAUCCUCCAUCCUCGGGACAACUAUGUUAUGCAAUGCACAAAAUUCACA